AGUUCGGCCUGAACGGGAACAGAACGGCAAUCCCAAACCCGCCCACUAUCCAGUAUCGCCUUGAUGAUCGGGACAUGGCACUCCUUGGCCCGGCAGCACAGCGUAGGUUUCUGGCUAGUCAGGCGAGACAGGCUUCCGCAAUUUAAGUAUGGACCGUAGCCUUGGAAAACCAAGUCAGGCUCGCAGCCCGUAGUUCGGUUAGUCCGGAACGUUGCCCAGCUUGUUAAUGUCAUCGACAUCUUGUGAGUUUUUGAGCAAUCGUCCAACCAUUUCAUAAGAACGAGUAAUCUCGGCCAACCGGCCCAUUUCGCGCAUCGUUUGCACGUUGGAUUUUUCGAUGGCGCCACUGACGACG
rnacentral:misc_RNA from 1 species